AAUUAUUCAAAACUUUGACACAAAACACUAUACUAGUACCAAAAUGAGUAGCGUAUCGCUAACGGAGAAAAAUCACUGUGAGUCGAAAGUCGACGAUGAGAAAGAAGUCUGCUUGUAAUUAGUAGGUUUUGUAAAAACGUCAAGAGACGAAUCGGUGAAGAUGCUUGAAUCUUUCUUGUCUUGAACAGAUGAAAUUAGUCGAAUAGUCGAAGGAUCCCGGUUGAAAAUAGAGUAACGGAAAGAGAAUUUUGUUCAUCGUGUUAGGAAACUGAUGGGAGGGACUCUAACACGCGCAACGUCGAAACUGCAUCCAAGAGAAGCUCGUGAUAAGGGGUUGUUGACUGUGCGGAUGCGGACGUUAGACUGAAGCGCUGGUAGGAUCACUU
rnacentral:misc_RNA from 1 species